UACGGAGGGUGCAAGCGUUGUCCGGAAUCACUGGGCGUAAAGGGCGCGUAGGCGGCUCAUGAAGGCUGUGGUGAAAGUCCGGGGCUCAACCUCGGAUCGGCCGUGGCGACUCGUGGGCUGGAGCACUGUAGAAGGCGGGUGGAAUUCCGGGUGUAGCGGUGGAAUGCGUAGAGAUCCGGAAGAACACCGGUGGCGAAGGCGGCCUGCUGGGCAGUGGCUGACGCUGAGGCGCGACAGCGUGGGGAGCAAACAGG
rnacentral:rRNA from 1 species